rnacentral:rRNA from 1 species
AGCGAACGCUGGCGGCAGGCUUAACACAUGCAAGUCGAACGGGCACUUCGGUGCUAGUGGCAGACGGGUGAGUAACACGUGGGAACGUACCUUUCGGUUCGGAAUAAUACAGGGAAACUUGUACUAAUACCGGAUACGCCCUUCGGGGAAGAUUAUCGCCGAUUGAUCGGCCCGCGUCUGAUUAGCUAGUUGGUGAGGUAAUGGCUCACCAAGGCGACGAUCAGUAGCUGGUCUGAGAGGACGACCAGCCACACUGGAACUGAGACACGGUCCAGACUCCUACGGGAGGCAGCAGUGGGGAAGUUUUGGACAAAUGGACGCAAAGUCUGAUCCAGCCAUUCCGCGUGCAGGAUGAAGGCCCUCGGGUUGUAAACUGCUUUGUACGGAACGAAACGGCGAGCUCUAAUACAGUUUGCUAAUGACGGUACCGUAAGAAUAAGCACCGGCUAACUACGUG